AGAGCUGGGGGGGUUACACACACACAGUGUUGCUGGUUAAUCUACGUGGUCUCUGCUCUCUGAUUCAGUGCUCAGUGUGAGGAGCUCAGUUUGGAUUAAUGAUCCCAGCUUGUAUGUCUGAUUCAGUGCUCAGUGUGAGGAGCUCAGUUUGGAUUAAUGAUCCCAGCUUGUAUGUCUGAUUCAGUGCUCAGUGUUUGGAGCUCAGUUUGUAUUAAUGAUCUCAGCUUGUAUGUCUGAUUCAGUGCUCAGUGUGAGGUGCUCAGUUUGGAUUAAUGAUCCCAGCUUGUAUGUCUGAUUCAGUGCUCAGUGUGAGGUGCUCAGUUUGGAUUAAUGAUCCCAGCUUGUAUGUCUGAUUCAGUGCUCAGUGUGAGGUGCUCAGUUUGGAUUAAUGAUCCCAGCUUGUAUGUCUGAUUCAGUGCUCAGUGUGAGGUGCUCAGUUUGGAUUAAUGAUCCCAGCUUGUAUGUCUGAUUCAGUGCUCAGUGUUUGGAGCUCAGUUUGUAUUAAUGAUCUCAGCUUGUAUGUCUGAUUCAGUGCUCAGUGUGAGGUGCUCAGUUUGGAUUAAUGAUCCCAGCUUGUAUGUCUGAUUCAGUGCUCAGUGUGAGGUGCUCAGUUUGGAUUAAUGAUCCCAGCUUGUAUGUCUGAUUCAGUGCUCAGUGUGAGGAGCUCAGUUUGGAUUAAUGAUCCCAGCUUGUAUGUCUGAUUCAGUGCUUAAUGUGAGGAGCUCAGUUUGGAUUAAUGAUCCCAGCUUGUAUGUCUGAUUCAGUGCUCAGUGUGAGGAGCUCAGUUUGGAUUAAUGAUCCCAGCUUGUAUGUCUGAUUCAGUGCUCAGUGUGAGGAGCUCAGUUUGUAUUAAUGAUCCCAGCUUGUAUGUCUGAUUCAGUGUGAGGAGCUCAGUUUGUAUUAAUGAUCCCAGCUUGUAUGUCUGAUUCAGUGCUCAGUGUUUGGAGCUCAGUUUGUAUUAAUGAUCUCAGCUUGUAUGUCUGAUUCAGUGCUUAAUGUGAGGAGCUCAGUUUGGAUUAAUGAUCCCAGCUUGUAUGUCUGAUUCAGUGCUUAAUGUGAGGAGCUCAGUUUGGAUUAAUGAUCCCAGCUUGUAUGUCUGAUUCAGUGCUCAGUGUGAGGAGCUCAGUUUGGAUUAAUGAUCCCAGCUUGUAUGUCUGAUUCAGUGCUCAGUGUGAGGAGCUCAGUUUGUAUUAAUGAUCCCAGCUUGUAUGUCUGAUUCAGUGUGAGGAGCUCAGUUUGUAUUAAUGAUCCCAGCUUGUAUGUCUGAUUCAGUGCUCAGUGUGAGGAGCUCAGUUUGGAUUAAUGAUCCCAGCUUGUAUGUCUGAUUCAGUGCUCAGUGUGAG